UACGGAGGGUGCAAGCGUUAAUCGGAAUUACUGGGCGUAAAGCGCACGUAGGCGGCUCUGCAAGUCGGGUGUGAAAUCCCCGGGCUCAACCUGGGAACUGCAUUCGAUACUGCAUUGCUAGAGUAUGGGAGAGGGAAGUGGAAUUUCCGGUGUAGCGGUGAAAUGCGUAGAUAUCGGAAGGAACACCAGUGGCGAAAGCGACUUCCUGGACCAAUACUGACGCUCAGGUGCGAAAGCGUGGGGAGCAAACAGG
rnacentral:misc_RNA from 1 species